rnacentral:miRNA from 1 species
UGAACAUCCCAGAGCCACCGG